CAUAUCAUAUAUAUGAUGUUUAUAUGAGUCAAGGAGGAGGGGGCUUGAGCUGCUGGCAGGUGCCAGGGCUGCAGCUCAGCUGUGCACACAGCACCAUGAUAACACAGUGAUGUGACUUUGGCACCAGUGGUGGCCACUUCUGGCCAGCAAAGUGUGUCACCAGAGUAAACACCUGGGUUUUUAGCUGAAUAAAGGAGUUUAUGGCAUGAAGGUGCUUCUGGGGAAAAAAAACCCAAAACAAUGGAAAAACUCCUUUUCAGAUAAUUUUUAGCUUUGUGAUGAAGCCCAGGGCCAGUCCUGAGCUGUCAGUGACUCCAGUCCCCAUGUGUCCCUGGGCAGGGCCGUGUGGACUCCUUGGUGCAGCUUCCAGCACCGUGUCCCAGUGGUGCCUCAUGGGCUUGGGACCUUGUGCUGGCACCAGAUAAAGGCCUGGCAACCUUGGGAAUGUUUCCUGUGUCAGGUGGUUGAGCCCUCACUCCUGCCAGUUAACCUGAAUGCCUCCUGGCCAGUUCUGCAGCUCCUUUAAGCUGCACUGGCAGCACUGGGGCGGCACUGGACACUGCUGGCCCCAUGCACAUCCCACACGUGGGCAAGACUGAGCAGCAUCACCCCCUGUGUAAAGGCACCGCAUUCCCUGCAGGGGAAGGCAAGCAGCUUUAAAAAGGUGAUGCAGCUGACACCUUUCCCUGUGUCUGAGGGUGGUGAUGAGAUGCAAACAUGUGCUUAGCAUGUGUAAUGUAUUUCUGCACUAACCACGCAUCAAAUUAUAAUUUAAAACAAAAAUAUUUUUGUUGGAUGGGAAGUGCCAGUUCAUUAAUCAAUUGACUAAUAGUUUAGUGCUGGAAUGGUAAAAUCUAACACACUGAACAGCUGCUAGAAACAGCUGGUGCUUACAGCUCGUGCUGUUUGGGGAAGUGAAAUCUAGAGUGUCUCAGUUUCGUUUUUCAGGGAGAUUUUCAGAAUUCCUCAUUCAUCUCCAUGAACAAAGCCCUCAAGCCCUCUGGAGCAUGGGCCCAACAAGGAUCCAGGGCUGGAUUCACUGGGGCUUCCAAUUGGAACAAAAUGCCCCUUGCCUGGAGGAUGCAGAGAGCACCAUCAGAGAGCCCUGGCAGCUGGACACGGGAGCCCAGCAGAGACCUCAGCAACUUCUUGCAACGACUCAACGCAUUUAGGGAUCUCUGCCAUUUGUUUUUGUUUCCUUUCACUGUCUUCUCUGCUAUUAUUGUUUCAAUGUGCAAAGAUGCUGCACAUCCAGAAAGGAAAUCACUGCUGGAUCCAAGCAGCACAACCACCCUUCACUCCAGCUCUCUGCAGGCAAAUCACUAGAAAGAAGAGGAAAGCCUGCUUGUAGCAGCCUGUAUCCCUUCAGUGUCAUAUUAUAUUACCAUCCACCAUGUUAGCAAAUGGGAAAAUAAACAUGGGCUGGAUAGCA
rnacentral:lncRNA from 1 species